GUGCUCUCUUUGGCAGCACAUAUACUAGAAUUGGAACGACACAGAGAAGAUUAGCAUGGCACCUGUGCAAGUAUGACAUCCAGAGGCAAACACUUCAUGCAAAUUCGU